rnacentral:rRNA from 1 species
UACAGGGGGUGCAAACGUUGCUCGGAAUUAUUGGGCGUAAAGCGCGCGUAGGCGGCUACUUAAGUCGGAUGUGAAAGCCCUUGGCUCAACUGAGGAAGUGCACCCGAAACUGAGUGGCUUGAGUACUAAAGAGGGUCGCGGAAUUCCCGGUGUAGAGGUGAAAUUCGUAGAUAUCAGGAGGAACACCGGCGGCGAAGGCGGCUUCCUGGACCGAUACUGACGCUGAGACGCGAAAGCGUGGGGAGCAAACAGG